GAUGAACGCUGGCGGCGUGCCUAAUACAUGCAAGUCGAGCGAAUGGAUUAAGAGCUUGCUCUUAUGAAGUUAGCGGCGGACGGGUGAGUAACACGUGGUAACCUGCCCAUAAGACUGGGAUAACUCCGGGAAACCGGGGCUAAUACCGGAUAACAUUUUGAACCGCAUGGUUCGAACUUGAAAGGCGGCUUCGGUUGUCACUUCUGGAUGGACCCGCGUCGCAUUAGCUAGUUGGUGAGGUAACGGCUCACCAAGGCAACGAUGCGUAGCCGACCUGAGAGGGUGAUCGGCCACACUGGGACUGAGACACGGCCCAGACUCCUACGGGAGGCAGCAGUAGGGAAUCUUCCGCAAUGAACGAAAGUCUGACGGAGCAACGCCGCGUGAGUGAUGAAGGCUUUCGGGUCGUAAAACUCUGUUGUUAGGGAAGAACAAGUGCUAGUUGAAUAAGCUGGCACCUUGACGGUACCUAACCAGAAAGCCACGGCUAACUACGUGCCAGCAGCCGCCGCGG
rnacentral:rRNA from 1 species